rnacentral:rRNA from 1 species
AGUAAUGUAUGGGGAUCUGCCCGAUAGAGGGGGGUAACUACCGGAAACGGUGGCUAAUACCGCAUAAUGUCUACGGACCAAAGCAGGGGCUCUUCGGACCUUGCACUAUCGGAUGAACCCAUAUGGGAUUAGCUAGUAGGUGGGGUAAAGGCUCACCUAGGCGACGAUCUCUAGCUGGUCUGAGAGGAUGAUCAGCCACACUGGGACUGAGACACGGCCCAG